UUUGGUCCAGGCUACAUUUUUUUAAAGGUGAGAUUUCCCUUUUUUAAGUCAAAACAUGUCGUAAUGUUUGCUCUGUGAAAGUAAAAAAAACAAAUGAUGGCAAUUACCAGUCACAAGCAGUCAGGACAUCUCUCUCUCUCUGUCUCUCUCUCGCUCUCUCUGUCAAGAAAAAAGUAAAAUAAAAUAAAAUAAACAAAGAGCCAGCUUUAUGUAAAAAUGUAAACAGGGCUUAAUUACAAGAAAGCAUACUAAUUCUGAUUUCAAGAUGUGACAGGAAGACUUGAAAUGGUCUUGAUGUCAUUUCCUCCAGCUGAUCCUCAACAGCAUAAAUUUGCAGCAGUCUGUGGUUCUCUUCUUUUCUCCUGCAAGCAGCAUAAACCAGUAUGAUCAGUGUUAUAACCAGUCUGACUUUCCUGCUUUACUGGACUUCAGUUUUAGCAGGAGAGAAUGUAGUCACCCAAAACCCCAGUGUUGCCUGGCAUCUGAAAGGAGAAACUGCUGAAAUGAACUGCAGUCAUAAUAAAGGUGUUGCCUACUCUCAGAUGUACUGGUACAGACAGCGCCAAGGAGAGAGUAUGGAGCACAUCGUGUACACGAGAACCAGUAGUGAACCAGAGUUUGGCUCUGUUGAUAAAAAUAAAUUUUCGACUGUUAAAGAAA